rnacentral:rRNA from 1 species
GAUGAACGCUGGCGGCGUGCCUAACACAUGCAAGUCGAGCGAUUCUCUUCGGAGAAGAGCGGCGGACGGGUGAGUAACGCGUGAGUAACCUGCCCUGUACACACGGAUAACAUACCGAAAGGUAUGCUAAUACGAGAUAAUAUGCUUUUAUCGCAUGGUAGAAGUAUCAAAAGCUCCGGCGGUACAGGAUGGACCCGCGUCUGAUUAGCUAGUUGGUAAGGUAACGGCUUACCAAGGCGACGAUCAGUAGCCGACCUGAGAGGGUGAUCGGCCACAUUGGAACUGAGACACGGUCCAAACUCCUACGGGAGGCAGCAGUGGGGAAUAUUGCACAAUGGGCGAAAGCCUGAUGCAGCAACGCCGCGUGAGCGAUGAAGGCCUUCGGGUC